GGGGGACCGGAGACUGGGACAGGGGGAUGCGGGGCACCAGAAGUUUUGUGUCUCGAAACAAGAUCUAGUUACCGUGUUCAUGGAUUCUGCGGGCAGGAAUUCAGACAGGACCUGAUGGGACAGCGUUUCUCUGCUUUAUGAUGUGAUGGAGACGUCUCUAGAAAGAAGCUGCAACAGCUGAUGUCAGAGGCCGCUGCCUGUGCUCUCCUCCAGGAAUUCACUGGUUUCCCAUCUCACAUCUGGCUCCUGGUUCCCAGGGACCCUUGGGAGAUGCUGGAGGCUCCCUCCAGGACAGGCGACACACGCUGCUGGGUCCUGACCUGCAAGCAGCAAACACCCACCCCCCUCCCUGGAACAUGGACUUCAGCACCAGGAAAGGUCAACAGAAUCCAGAGAGGAAGCCUGUGCCCACUGAGGUGUGGGCUUCAGGCUUGGGGGGCUCUCUCUGGGGGCUGGAGUGUGGAGUC